AACGAACGCUGGCGGCAUGCCUAACACAUGCAAGUCGAACGAGACCUUCGGGUCUAGUGGCGCACGGGUGCGUAACGCGUGGGAACCUGCCCUUAGGUUCGGAAUAACUCCCCGAAAGGGGUGCUAAUACCGGAUAAUGUCUUCGGACCAAAGAUUUAUCGCCGUUGGAUGGGCCCGCGUUGGAUUAGCUAGUUGGUAGGGUAAAAGCCUACCAAGGCGACGAUCCAUAGCUGGUCUGAGAGGAUGAUCAGCCACACUGGGACUGAGACACGGCCCAGACUCCUACGGGAGGCAGCAGUGGGGAAUAUUGGACAAUGGGCGAAAGCCUGAUCAAGCAAUGCCGCGUGAGUGAUGAAGGCCUUAGGGUUGUAAAGCUCUUUUACACGGGAUGAUAAUGACAGUACCGGGAGAAUAAGCUCCGGCUAACUCCGUG
rnacentral:rRNA from 1 species